rnacentral:rRNA from 1 species
CGAACGGGUGAGUAACACGUGGGCAACCUGCCCGAAAAGAAGGGGGAUAACACUUGGAAACAGGUAGCUAAUACCGCAUAACCAUAGUUACCGCAUGGUAACUAUGUAAAAGGUGGCUAUGCUACCGCUUUUGGAUGGGCCCGCGACGCAUUAGCUAGUUGGUGGGGGUAAAGGCUUACCAAGGCAAUGAUGCGUAGCCGAACUGAGAGGUUGAUCGGCCACAUUGGGACUGAGACACGGCCCAAACUCCUACGGGAGGCAGCAG